rnacentral:lncRNA from 1 species
GUUUCUGAUCACUUUGGAGACUGUAACAUUAGAAGAGGGAAAACUUUUGGGACUCUCAUGGAGAGCUGAAAUGUUCAUGAGUAUCAAGCAGAACAGGAGCUGUGCUUUUGUAAAGCCCUGCGAACUGAAGCUUGACAACUUAAACUUCAGAAGCAAUAACAGCAACCCAUUUACAAACGACAUGAGACUUUACAACCUGUUAAAAAUGAACUUUCCUAAUACCUUGGGAUCUACCUGUCUAGGAAUAAACUAUCCUAAUCAUGAAAGAUCAGAUGAAAUCUGA